GGGCAUGUAGCGCAGUUGGUAGCGCGCUCGCUUAGCAUCUUGAUCUGAUCUGCGAGAGGUCUUGGGUUCAAAUCCCAACUUGUCCA